rnacentral:rRNA from 1 species
AACGAACGCUGGCGGCAGGCCUAACACAUGCAAGUCGAGCGAACCCUUCGGGGUUAGCGGCGGACGGGUUAGUAACGCGUGGGAAUAUACCCUUUGGUACGGAAUAGCCUCGGGAAACUGAGAGUAAUACCGUAUGUGCCCUUCGGGGGAAAGAUUUAUCGCCAAAGGAUUAGCCCGCGUUGGAUUAGAUAGUUGGUGGGGUAAUGGCCUACCAAGUCUACGAUCCAUAGCUGGCUUGAGAGGAUGAUCAGCAACACUGGGGACUGAGACACGGCCCAGACCUCCUACGGGAGGCAGCAGUGGGGAAUCUUAGACAAUGGGCGCAAGCCUGAUCUAGCCAUGCCGCGUGGACGAUGAAGGCCUUAGGGUUGUAAAGUCCUUUCAGAUGGGAAGAUAAUGACGGUACCAUCAGAAGAAGCCCCGGCUAACUCCGUG